GGACUACUGGGGUAUCUAAUCCUGUUUGCUCCCCCAGCUUUCGCGCAUCAGCGUCAGUAGUGGUCCAGUGCGCCGCUUUCGCCACAGGUGUUCCUCCCGAUCUCUACGCAUUUCACCGCUACACCGGGAAUUCCACGCACCUCUCCCACACUCGAGCACGGCAGUUUUCCCCGCAGACUAUGGGUUGAGCCCAUAGAUUUCACGGGAAACUUGCCGCACCGCCUACGCGCCCUUUACGCCCAAUAAUUCCGAACAACGCUCGCACCCUCUGUAUUACCGCGGCUGCUGGCAC
rnacentral:rRNA from 1 species